rnacentral:rRNA from 1 species
GACGUAGGGCGCGAGCGUUGUCCGGAUUUAUUGGGCGUAAAGAGCUCGUAGGCGGCUUGUCGCGUCGACUGUGAAAUCCCGCGGCUCAACUGCGGGUCUGCAGUCGAUACGGGCAGGCUAGAGUCCGGUAGGGGAGCGUGGAAUUCCUGGUGUAGCGGUGAAAUGACGCAGAUAUCAGGAGGAACACCAGCGGCGAAGGCGGCGCUCUGGGCCGGUACUGACACUGAGGAGCGAAAGCGUGGGUAGCAAACAGG